AUGAUUGGACACAUUAUGCUUUUGGAAAUACCCAGUGUAAGCUCCCUGAAGUGAUAACUCUACCUUCGAUAGAAGAGGGAAGAAAAGCAGCAGGAAAAGUGAAACUGCAUGAGUUCUACAAAAGCAUGUUGGAGUCAUAUAAUGAAAAAGCAGAUUUUUUUUUAUUAUGUUUCUCCAUAUUUGGCAUUGCUGUAAAAUGGCUAACUAACAUUUACUGCCAAUUCAGUACAAAUGUGUGGUUUGGUAAUACCAGAACAGCAAAUUUAAAUGAAAAAUAAAAGUUAAACAUUUCCACACAAGAUUUUACAGUCUGACAUUUCACUGCGUAGAUAAAAAGACACUUUUUUUUUAAACUACAUAUUAUUAUUCAGCAUGAAUAAAAAACUACAACUUUUAUUUUUUAAA